rnacentral:rRNA from 1 species
GACGAACGCUGGCGGCGUGCCUAAUACAUGCAAGUAGAACGCUGAAGAGAGGAGCUUGCUCUUCUUGGAUGAGUUGCGAACGGGUGAGUAACGCGUAGGUAACCUGCCUUGUAGCGGGGGGUAACUAUUGGAAACGAUAGCUAAUACCGCAUAACAAUGGAUGACCCAUGUCAUUUAUUUGAAAGGGGCAAAUGCUCCACUACAAGAUGGACCUGCGUUGUAUUAGCUAGUAGGUGAGGUAACGGCUCACCUAGGCGACGAUACAUAGCCGACCUGAGAGGGUGAUCGGCCACACUGGGACUGAGACACGGCCCAGACUCCUACGGGAGGCAGCAGUAGGGAAUCUUCGGCAAUGGGGGCAACCCUGACCGAGCAACGCCGCGUGAGUGAAGAAGGUUUUCGGAUCGUAAAGCUCUGUUGUAAGUCAAGAACGAGUGUGAGAGUGGAAAGUUCACACUGUGACGGUAGCUUACCAGAAAGGGACGGCUAACUACGUGCCAGCAGCCGCGGUAAUACGUAGGUCCCGAGCGUUGUCCGGAUUUAUUGGGCGUAAAGCGAGCGCAGGCGGUUUGAUAAGUCUGAAGUUAAAGGCUGUGGCUCAACCAUAGUUCGCUUUGGAAACUGUCAAACUUGAGUGCAGAAGGGGAGAGUGGAAUUCCAUGUGUAGCGGUGAAAUGCGUAGAUAUAUGGAGGAACACCGGUGGCGAAAGCGGCUCUCUGGUCUGUAACUGACGCUGAGGCUCGAAAGCGUGGGGAGCGAACAGG